AGAGCUGUGGCUCAGUGGUAGAGCGCUUGCCUAGCAGUCUGAGACACUGGGUUCAAUCCUCAGCACCACUU
rnacentral:tRNA from 1 species